CCUGUUUAUCAAAAACAUGGCUCCCUGAUUACUUGACUAUAGGGAGUCGGACCUGCCCAGUGAUAAAAUUUUAACGGCCGCGGUACUCUGACCGUGCAAAGGUAGCAUAAUCAUUUGCCCUAUAAUUGAGGGCUAGUAUGAAUGGUUUGACAAGAGUAGUGCUGUCUCUAUAUGAUUCUUUAGAACUUAAUCUUUAGGUGAAGAAUCCUAAGUUAAAUUAAAAGACAAGAAGACCCUAUCGAGCUUUAAAAAAGUAUAUAGAACAAAAUUAGUAUUUUAAAAUAAAUUACUAUAUAAAAUUUUGGUUGGGGCGACUAAGGAACAUUAAAAGCUUCUUACAAACAUCAUAAGCUGAUAAGCCUAGAUCCGGUUAAAAUACUACCGAUUAAAAGAAUUAGUUACCGUAGGGAUAACAGCAUAAUCUCCUUUAAGAGUUCAUAUCGAAAAGGAGGUUUGUGACCUCGAUGUUGGACUAGAAUGUCCUGAAGAUGCAGAAGU
rnacentral:rRNA from 1 species